GGAUCGAUGAUGACUCCCACAAAUGCAUUCCUUGGAAAUCUGAACAAAAUGAGUGAGCCACCCCUACCGUCUCCUCAUCGGAACUGAGGUCC
ensembl:snoRNA SNORD116 Small nucleolar RNA SNORD116